rnacentral:rRNA from 1 species
CUGGGGAGUACGGCCGCAAGGUUAAAACUCAAAUGAAUUGACGGGGGCCCGCACAAGCGGUGGAGCAUGUGGUUUAAUUCGAUGCAACGCGAAGAACCUUACCUGGUCUUGACAUCCACGGAAGUUUUCAGAGAUGAGAAUGUGCCUUCGGGAACCGUGAGACAGGUGCUGCAUGGCUGUCGUCAGCUCGUGUUGUGAAAUGUUGGGUUAAGUCCCGCAACGAGCGCAACCCUUAUCCUUUGUUGCCAGCGGUCCGGCCGGGAACUCAAAGGAGACUGCCAGUGAUAAACUGGAGGAAGGUGGGGAUGACGUCAAGUCAUCAUGGCCCUUACGACCAGGGCUACACACGUGCUACAAUGGCGCAUACAAAGAGAAGCGACCUCGCGAGAGCAAGCGGACCUCAUAAAGUGCGUCGUAGUCCGGAUUGGAGUCUGCAACUCGACUCCAUGAAGUCGGAAUCGCUAGUAAUCGUGGAUCAGAAUGCCACGGUGAAUACGUUCCCGGGCCUUGUACACACCGCCCGUCACACCAUGGGAGUGGGUUGCAAAAGAAGUAGGUAGCUUAACCUUCGGGAGGGCGCUUACCACUUUGUGAUUCAUGACUGGGGUGAAGUCGUAACAAGGUAACCGUAGGGGAACCUGCGGUUGGAUCACCUCCUUA